CCUACGGGAGGCAGCAGUGGGGGAUAUUGCACAAUGGGGGGAACCCUGAUGCAGCGACGCCGCGUGGGUGAAGAAGCGCCUAGGCGCGUAAAGCCCUGUCAGCAGGGAAGAAAAUGACGGUACCUGAAGAAGAAGCCCCGGAUCACUACGUGCCAGCAGCCGCGGUAAUACGUGGGGGGCCAGCGUUAUCCGGAUUUACUGGGUGUAACGGGGGCGCAGGCGGCGAUUCUAGCCAGGAGGGAAAGCCCGGGGCCCAACCCCGGGACUGCUCUUGGAACUGCAUGGCUGGAGUGCAGGAGGGGCAGGCUGAAGUACUGGUGUAGCGGUGAAAUGCGUAGAUAUCAGGAGGAACACCGGUGGCGAAGGCGGCCUGCUGGACUUCAACUGACGUUGAGGCCCGAAAGCGUGGGGAGCAAACAGGAUUAGAUACCCGAGUAGUC
rnacentral:rRNA from 1 species